rfam:Camelus ferus unplaced genomic scaffold scaffold240, whole genome shotgun sequence.
GGGGGUGACAGUUCAGUGGUAGAGCAGGUGCUUAGCAUGCACGAGGUCCUGGGUUCAAAACCCAGUACCUCCA